CCUUGACAUACUAAGAACUUUCCAGAGAUGGAUUGGUGCCUUCGGGAACUUAGAUACAGGCGCUGCAUGGCUGUCGUCAGCUCGUGUCGUGAGAUGUUGGGUUAAGUCCCGCAACGAGCGCAACCCUUUUCCUUAUUUGCCAGCGGGUCAUGCCGGGAACUUUAAGGAUACUGCCAGUGACAAACUGGAGGAAGGCGGGGACGACGUCAAGUCAUCAUGGCCCUUACGGCCAGGGCUACACACGUGCUACAAUGGUCGGUACAAAGGGUUGCUACCUCGCGAGAGGAUGCUAAUCUCAAAAAGCCGAUCGUAGUCCGGAUCGCAGUCUGCAACUCGACUGCGUGAAGUCGGAAUCGCUAGUAAUCGCGGAUCAGAAUGCCGCGGUGAAUACGUUCCCGGGCCUUGUACACACCGCCCGUCACACCAUGGGAGUUUGUUGCACCAGAAGUAGGUAGUCUAACCGCAAGGAGGACGCUUACCACGGUGUGGCCGAUGACUGGGGUGAAGUCGUAACAAGGUAAGCGUAGAUGA
rnacentral:rRNA from 1 species